rnacentral:misc_RNA from 1 species
AGCUGAAAGCGUAGAUGCUGUGCAAUGCCCGGAGAGUGUGAGCUUUGGGGUCGUUAGAGGUAAUACAAAUAGGUUCAGUGAUUGCCAACGGCUAAAAUCAAUUUUGUGUUAUUGAUCGGUGCCUAAUCCAUAUUAUCCGUUAUACCCUGCACAAGGGGACAGUCGCUGGCCCGGCAGUGACCCCUAUGUAUCCGACACUGUAUGGACGUCGGCAUGCCAGAACACGGUCCGGACACUGAGCCGCCCGAGGGCGUCCCGUCGGGUCCGGCGCAGGAUCAGGUGGUCACCCCGCGGCCGCCGGCCGGCCACCGCUACGGCGAGCUCGUCAUACUCGGAUACAAUGGCAUCGUGGCUCAUGGCGACAAGGACCGUCGGCCGUCCAAGUUCCUGUUGCACAAGCGGGUGGCCGCCAAUGGAGUCAAACCGGCCCGCUACUACGAGGUCAAGCAGCCACAGAUGUCCCAGGCCGUGCGGGACCGGUGUCAGCACAGCGUCUCGUACACACUCUCCAGGCACAAGGCCAUCAUUGUCGAGUACGCGCCCGAUCCGGACACCGACCUGUUUCAGGUGGGCCGGUCGUCCGAGUCGCCGAUCGACUUUGUCGUGCUGGACACCAUCCCGGGCGUGAAGGCGGAGGACACGCGCGACAGCAAGGUGGUCCACAGCACCAUCAGCAGGUUCGCCUGCCGGCUGCUCGUCAACCGAGCCACCAUGCGCGCCAACGUGUACGCCGCCGGGUUCGACUCGUCGCGGAAUAUCUUCCUCGGGGAGAAGGCGACCAAGUGGGAGACGGACGGCAUCAUCGACGGCCUCACCACCAACGGCAUCCUACUGAUGCAUCCGCAGGGCGCGUUCUGCGGCGGCCGUGGCCGGCCCGGCGCCUGGAUGGAGGUCUCGGUGGGCGGCGGCAUGUAUGGCCUACGCGCCACCCGCUCCGCCGCGCAAAAGGGGCUCAAGGUACGGUAUACUGGAGAGGGAUACCGCUCCGCCGCGCAGAAGGGGCUCAAGGUACGGUAUGAUGGAGAGGGGAGGGGGCACCGUUCCACUGUACAGAAGGGGCUCAAGGUAUGGUACAAUGGGGGAGGGGAGGGUUCGCACUUCGCUCCGCCGCACAGAAGGGGCUCAAGGUACGAUUUGAUGGGGGAGGGGACGGGGCACGCCUCAAGGUGCGGCACACUGGGCGCUAGGCUGUGGGCCCAGCUCCGGCGCAUGACGGCCGACGGCAGCACGGUCACGCUGCAAUGGGUCCCGGCCCACUGUGGGCUCGCCGGUAAUGAAAGAGCGGACGCCCUGGCCAAGGAGGCGGCCGCUCUUCCUCAGCAGUCAACGCCGGUGGAUGUCCGUACUCUUACGCGGGCUGUCGCGCGGCACUCCAAGAGGAAGUGGCAGGCGGACUGGCCGGUCGGUUGGUACCGCACCGUCAUGGGGGACCGCGCCCCCGCCCCGGUCCGGACCGCCACCAGGGAGGAGGCCGUCGACAUCCACCAGCUCCGGUCUGGCCACUGGGCCCGAUCGGAGCAGUACCUCCACCGGAUUGGUCGAAGACCUACACCUGAGUGCGCUCAAUGCGACGACAAGGAAUGCCCUGCGGGCCGCUGCCUAGUCUGCUCUGAAGCAGCGGACACCCCGGCGCACGUGUUGCUGGAAUGCCCGUGCCUGUACGGCCCCCGGCUCCGUGCGCUGGGCAACAUCAUCGGCGCGGCCCACGAUGUCCGGCGCGACGACGUGGUGGCGGCCUUGGCCGCCGGAUACAUGGCCCACAAGAGCCGGUCGGCUACGCUACCGCUCCGGCGGUAGCCGGGGGGUCAAACAACAACAACAACAACAACAGGUGCGGCACACUGGGUGGAGGAGAUGAAAGGAGUCUUCUAGCAGGGACUCUGGGUCCCACACAACGGUAGGGGAGGGAGGGGUACCGCGAUCCGCCCUCUCCCGCCCCUAGAAAUAAAUAUGCUGCAGAAGUGCUGGGGAGGCUCGUCUUAUGUUUACGUUUAUACAAUCUGCUCAGGUUACAUUUAAUAGUCACACACACACACAGCUCAGGAUACACUCAUCGGUCAUAUACCUAGCGUUGGGUUAGGACAAGACAUCUAUGAGUCUCUGCGAAGUGUGUGCAAUGUCUUAUCUUCUGACUGCGGGCUGUGUGUAUCGGGACAGAUGGAGGACCAGACGAGCGAGCUGCAGGACGGCACGCUGGUGGACCUGUGCGGCGCCACGCUGCUGUGGCGCUCGGCAGAGGGUCUCAGCCGGUCACCGACCAAACACGACCUGGAGCGGAUGGUGGACCAGCUCAACGCCGGCCGACCCCAGUGUCCGGUGGGUCUGAACACGCUGGUGAUCCCACGCAAGUCGGCGGCGCCCGCCACGGGUGACGGUGAUCCGUGGGUGUACCUCAACUGCGGCCACGUGCAGGGCCGCCACCAGUGGGGCCACGAGCACGGCACCGACUCCCUCACCUGCCCAAUGUGCUUCAAGACGGGCUCCGUGGUGCGCCUCUGUAUGGGCAUGGAGCCGUGCUUCCAUGUGGACUGCGAGCGGCCGACCCACGCGUUCAGUCCGUGCGGCCACAUGGCCUCGGAGGCCACCGUGCGCUACUGGUCGGCCGUCAUGAUCCCGCACGGCACCAACGGCUUUCACUCCAUGUGCCCGUUUUGCGCCACGCCGCUGAGCGCCGCCACGCCGCACGUGCGCCUCAUCUUCCAGGACAACCUGGACUGAGCGGCGGACGGCGGCGGCCACCCACAGCACGACUUCUUGCCAGCGCCAGCCGACCGAGAGGGGUGAGCGCGGCGAGCACCACAUGUGCCUGCGGCCGGCGCGCUGUGAGCGGGCCGCCGCGGCAGCACGGCCGGCGCGCGCGCGCCGCAGACUAUUUUUAGAUGACCAUUGGCGUGGUGCGACCGCCCCGCGCGACUGGGGCGGUGUGUGAUGAGCGCCCCGCUCCGGCCGGAUCGGCCGAGAGCGGCGUGUGCGGCGCCCAGCGCCCUGCAGUUCGUGGCCAGUGGCCGGCGGCCGGAGAGAGACCGGUGAGGCGCCGGCCGGCCGGCCCAGCCACCCAGAGGCUGCGGCCUCCCCAGACGGCCCACCCACCGCGUGACGGCGGUGCGCGGCACCAGUGAGCACCUCAGACUGUGUGUGUGGGUGUGUGCUGUUCAUACGCUCCUAAGCUCGUGUGUAUGUGUGUGUAUUCGUGUGUGUGUGGCGGUGUGAGUCGCGCCCGGCUGGCGGGGCCUCAGCCGGCCGCUCGGAGCCGUCACCAGACUGCGGGGCGGACCGGGGACGGUGGCCGGGCCGCGCGACUCCCAGACAAUGAGCCGCGCUAAACGAGCGGCAUUUAUCUGUACAUGCUGAUGCGAAUAAACUGAAAACUGACUCAGCUCGGUUCAUGAA